rnacentral:rRNA from 1 species
CUUGCGGCUGCCUUACCAUGCAGUCGAACGGUAACAGGGAGCUUGCUCCGCUGACGAGUGGCGAACGGGUGAGUAAUACAUCGGAACGUGCCCAGUAAUGGGGGAUAGCUCGGCGAAAGCCGGAUUAAUACCGCAUACGCCCUGAGGGGGAAAGUGGGGGACCGCAAGGCCUCACGUUAUUGGAGCGGCCGAUGGCUGAUUAGCUAGUUGGUAGGGUAAAGGCCUACCAAGGCGACGAUCAGUAGCUGGUCUGAGAGGACGAUCAGCCACACUGGGACUGAGACACGGCCCAGACUCCUACGGGAGGCAGCAGUGGGGAAUUUUGGACAAUGGGGGAAACCCUGAUCCAGCAAUGCCGCGUGUGCGAAGAAGGCCUUCGGGUUGUAAAGCACUUUUGUCAGGGAAGAAAUCCUUUGGGCUAAUACCCUAGGGGGAUGACGGUACCUGAAGAAUAAGCACCGGCUAACUACGUGCCAGCAGCCGCGGUAAUACGUAGGGUGCAAGCGUUAAUCGGAAUUACUGGGCGUAAAGCGUGCGCAGGCGGUUGUGUAAGACAGGUGUGAAAUCCCCGGGCUUAACCUGGGAAUUGCAUUUGUGACUGCACGACUAG